CCAGUCAGAAACUGGGAUCAAAUCUCAAUGAUGGCUGUCACUUGUAUUUUAUAUCUUCAGGGUCUUUUUCUUACCACUUGGGUUUUAUCAGUGUAUUUUCUUAGACCCAAUAUCAUUUCUAACCCUUGUUCAUUUCUUUUCUUAAUAUAAAAAACAACAGUAUACCUUUAAACUCAAUUCAUUAUUUUACAGCAAAAUAUCAUGUAAGUCUUAAUCACAGCACCUCAUAGUGGAAAGAAUAACUUGUUGAAACCUGAGUCUUCUAGAAGGCAGAUCAUGAUUUUGCUGAGAUUUCCAGGGGUUAAUUUCAGAACACCAGAUCCAACAGCAAUCCACAGCCAUUAUCCCAGGCUCUCUAGGCCUUUCCAGCCUUUUCUGCUCCAGUUGUAACUGAUAAGCAGCUGCUUUGUCAUGUGAAUAGGAAGAUAAAGCAGACACUCAGCUCGGCACUGCAUGUAAAAUAGGAAUCACUUGAAUGUCAUGGUCAUUGUCGUCAAAUCGAUGUGAGUCCAUCCUGUGUAAAGCCUUUCCAUUACUAAAACAAAAGAAGAAGAGCAGGGAGCUUGCCAGCAUUUGUUUAUUCAAGGAGGCUUGAAGUACAGGUGGCAGCAUUCACGGCACUGAAGAUCGUUCCUAUCUGCCAGAAUGAUUCCAUUGUUUUGGGGUCACACUUCACAGUGAAUGGGAACCUCUGAAGAUAUGAGACACGCCCUGUCAACAAACACAAUCACGUUUGAGGGUGAGGGUUUCAACAUCUGUGCUUUGUGGGGACGUGAACAUCCAGUCCAUCACGUUGACCACAGGAUGGAAUAAAGCGAUGGUGUCUGAGGAACUGCAGGGCUGGAGUCUAUCCGACUUAACACGGAUUGAUGUGGAGGUAAAGACACGUGAGGCAUCACAGAUGUCUUUGCGUGUCAAGCCCCAGUGACUGCCAGAAAGUAGCAUCAUGUAUAGAAUCAAGAAACUUAGGCAACAAUGCAGCUUUUAGACAAGUUGGGGUUUCAGGCCAGUUGAAAUGGAGGUGCU
rnacentral:lncRNA from 1 species